GCCGAGCGCGCGAGCAAGGUGCCAUCCAAUCAGCGGGCGGGGCGGGACCUCCUGGGUCUCCGCCCCCGGGCUGCGGGAGCUGAGAAGGAGCGAAGAUGGCGGAGUGAGGCGUGCCCCGGGCAGCUGGCCUCCGGGCCCGGGGCGGGCCUCCCGGGAGAGACGCGGUGUUUGUGCUGGAGUCUGUGAGGAACCUUAUCAUACAAGAUGAGUCUUUUCCUGACCAUAGGUGCUUUUAUAUUCAGCUCAGAAUUCUGAACUCAGGAGUUGGCAAGAAUUUCUAUGUUGUCUUCUCAGUGCGGUGUCCUGGUUCUUCUGUCCAGCUGCCUUCCCCAGUGAAAUUCGGAUGUCUUUCUACAGAUUACCUCAGUGGUUUGGGAUGGAAAGACUGCUUUUCCUUUACUUCACCUCAGACUCGACACAGAGAAGCUCUGAGGAGGCAGAUGUCCUUUUGACUUCAGGAAGGAAAACAACUGGCUUGGGUCUUCUGCAGUUUUUAUAAACAGAAAAACACGGUUGCAAGUAGAAAGAUGUUUAAUUUGAAACAGGUGCUUAGAUUGUGUGGCGUGAAGUGUCCCCUUAUUCAACGCUCCAAACAAGACUAAACAAAGACCAAGUGUGGGUGGCUCCAGAUUGUUUAAGUGUCUUCCGACUUUAACAUGAUAUAAGCACAGUUGAAACUGCAGUGGUAGAUCCCAAGUAUUUAUUAUAAUUUGAGGUGAAAGAAUUGUGAUCUAAAUCCUCGCUCAUCCAUUGACAGAUUUUCUGGACAGAAACAAAUCUAUAAGAUCAAAGCAGAAAGGCAAGAUACCAGGUUUGGUCUCACAUGGGAGUAAAACCAUUGCAGUUUGUGUGUGCAGAUUCACAUUUUUAUGAGUACAAAUCCACCUUUUUUAAACAAGAUUUUUCUCUUGGAGAAGAAACUUGUCAUUUAUGAGAAGGCUUU
rnacentral:lncRNA from 1 species